rnacentral:tRNA from 1 species
GCCCUUGUAGUUCAACGGAUAGAACGACUCCCUUCUAAGGAGUAGAUCCGGGUUCGAUUCCUGGCGAGGGCG